rnacentral:rRNA from 1 species
UGGGGAAUUUUGGACAAUGGGCGACAGUGAUCCAGCAAUGCCGCGUGCAGGAUGAAGGCCUUAGGGUUGUAAACUGCUUUUGUACGGAACGAAAAGGUCUGCCUUAAUACGGUGGGCCCAUGACGGUACCGUAAGAAUAAGCACCGGCUAACUCCGUG